rnacentral:lncRNA from 1 species
UUUAAAGUUAAAUCAGCUGCAUCUUGUUUGGAACAGCUUUGAGAAUUUCAAAAUUGGAAUGGCAUGUCCGAGUCACUGUAGAACCAGGUUUUCGGGGAGCGGUGGGGAAGACAGAUGACACCCCUGUCUUCAAUCAUCAUGCACUGGGAGAUCAGCCGCCAGUUGGCCACCCCUUUCUGCUUUCCCAUGAGACAAGCCCUUGGGACGACUAUCAUCCAUGCCACAGUGGCCUGGAGAAAACUGCUGCCGGUGGGGUGGUGGGCAAAUCUGGCACACGCCUGAGGGCCAGGGUGGGACCAGGGCCUCCAUGAGACUCCAUUAGGAAGGUGCUCACAGCACCCAGGCCCUGACGCU